GUCCACGCCCUAAACGAUGUCAACUGGUUGUUGGACGGCUUGCUGUUCAGUAACGAAGCUAACGCGUGAAGUUGACCGCCUGGGGAGUACGGCCGCAAGGUUUAAACUCAAAGGAAUUGACGGGGACCCGCACAAGCGGUGGAUGAUGUGGUUUAAUUCGAUGCAACGCGAAAACCUUACCUACCCUUGACAUGUCUGGAAUCCUGAAGAGAUUUUGGGAGUGCUCGAAAGAGAGCCAGAACACAGGUGCUGCAUGGCCGUCGU
rnacentral:rRNA from 1 species